rnacentral:lncRNA from 1 species
CCAUCGCCUGGGGUUUAGAAAUGCAAUGUGGAUGGUAUAAUUUUUUAUGCGGGUUAUGAGGUAGGAUAGGGAGUAGUCAUCCAAGACUUGGCAGAAAGAGUAUUGACAGUGUUCUCUGACAGGUUAUGAUGGUGCCGAUCUCCCUAUCUAACUGAACUACUUGGCUACCAUAAUUCACUGCAAUAUAUAAUCUCCAAUAUCACUUGGUCAGGUGUUGUCGAAGUGG